rnacentral:lncRNA from 1 species
UGUAUCUACUUAACAUGGUCAAUACUUCCUCUAACUUUCUGAACAUGCAGAAUAUAGUUGUAACUGUUUUAAUAUCCUUUUCUGCUAAUUCUAGCACGUGGGUCCAUAAAUUUGAAAGCAGAAAAUACUUACCAGAAUGAAAUCUUGCUCUGUAUUUAGAAAUCAGAACCCAUCUCUGUAAGAUUGUGUGUAAAAGAAAAACAAAAUUCCUUUUCAAAAGCCAAUUCAAAGGCCAGGCUCUGUGGUACAUGCCUAUACUCCCAGUGGUUUGGGGGGCUGAGAAAGGAGAAUCACAAGUUCAAAGCCAGCCUCAGCAAGAGUGAAGUACUAAGCAACUCAGUGAGACCCUGUCUCUAAAUGAAAUACAAAAUAAGGCUGGGGAUGUGACUCGGUAGUUGAAUGCCCCUGAGUUCAACCCCCGGUACCCCAUCCCCAACAACAAAAACAACAAAAAAUCAAUUAGAGCCUGGAGUGGUGUUUCAGGCCUAUAAUCUGAGCUCCCCAGGAGGCCAAGGCAGGAGGAUUACAAGUUCAAAGCCAGCCUGCACAAUUUAGUGAAACCCUG